UGCUCCAGGUGAAAGGGAGGAGUGAGUGGAGACUGUGGUCACUCCCUGUGAAGAAGAAGGCAGCUCUGGGAACUGGCAAGCCCGGUAGCAGAAAGCAGCCCAGGGACAGAGCUGUGAGGACCCAGAGAGAGAAGGUGCAGACUGCUGAGCUGAGCUGAGCACCUGGAGAAGUGGGUGGACGCAAGUUCCCCAGCAACUGCUGGCGAGUGGCACUGAGGCAAGAGGCAGAUGUGGGAUGCAAAUGCCAGCAAGGCAGAGGCUGCAGCCAUGUUCCUCUUCUGCUGAGGCAUCAGUAACAGGACCACCAGCACCGAUCACAUCUCCAUAGAGGAAAGCUGCAGCAGAGUCAACUGGCUCAGAAGCCUCAGUACUAUGAGAAAGGCCUGACUGAAGCCAUCCCAACCCUCAUCUCAUUUCAAGAGGGAUGGAAUUGGGACUCUCUGCCAAGCUGGAGCAGAUGUUGGGGCCCUGCAGAGUUGCCAGCCCUGCCACGGAGGUGUCAUGAACAGCACACCGGCAAACCCCUGUCAGGAAUCUGAGCCCAGACACUGAUGCCCAGUUCCCGGGAGCUACUCUGCCCCAAGAAAUGACUCUAGCUGAAGUGAUCCAGGUAGAUCACUGUGACCUAAGAACCUCUUAAUGCCAGCAGGCAAAGGGGCACAGUGGAGGUGCAUAGAGGUUACAGUUAGCUCCUGAGUUUGGCAUGGACGUUCUGGUUCACCAAAGAAGGUCAUGUGAGGUCUCUAA